AAUGAAUUGCCUGAUUAAAGGGUUACUUUGAUAGAGUAAAUCAUGUAAUAAUAUUACAUUCAUUA
rnacentral:tRNA from 1 species